UACAGAGGGUGCGAGCGUUGUCCGGAAUCACUGGGCGUAAAGGGCUCGUAGGCGGCCAACUAAGUCAGACGUGAAAUCCCUCGGCUUAACCGGGGAACUGCAUCUGAUACUGGAUGGCUCGAGUUUGGGAGAGGGAUGCGGAAUUCCAGGUGUAGCGGUGAAAUGCGUAGAUAUCUGGAGGAACACCGGUGGCGAAGGCGGCAUCCUGGACCAACACUGACGCUGAUGAGCGAAAGCCAGGGGAGCAAACGGG
rnacentral:rRNA from 1 species